AGCGAAAUUCCUUGUCGGGUAAGUUCCGACCCGCACGAAAGGUGCAACGAUUUGGGCACUGUCUCAACAAGAGACCCGGUGAAAUUAUACUAUGCGUGAAGAUGCGCAUUACCCGCGACAGGACGGAAAGACCCCGUGGAGCUUUACUGCAGCCUGAUAUUGAAUGUUGGUACAGCUUGUACAGGAUAGGUGGGAGCCUUAGAUACCGGAGCGCUAGCUUCGGUGGAGGCAUCCGUGGGAUACCACCCUGGCUGUAUUGACAUUCUAACCCUGGACCGUUAUCCGGUCCGGAGACAGUGUCAGGUGGGCAGUUUGACUGGGGCGGUCGCCUCCUAAAGAGUAACGGAGGCGCCCAAAGGUUCCCUCAGAAUGGUUGGAAAUCAUUCGCAGAGUGCAAAGGCACAAGGGAGCUUGACUGCGAGACCUACAAGUCGAGCAGGGACGAAAGUCGGGCUUAGUGAUCCGGCGGUACCGAAUGGAAGGGCCGUCGCUCAACGGAUAAAAGCUACCCCGGGGAUAACAGGCUUAUCUCCCCCAAGAGUCCACAUCGACGGGGAGGUUUGGCACCUCGAUGUCGGCUCAUCGCAUCCUGGGGCUGUAGUCGGUCCCAAGGGUUGGGCUGUUCGCCCAUUAAAGCGGUACGCGAGCUGGGUUCAGAACGUCGUGAGACAGUUCGGUCCCUAUCCGUCGUGGGCGUUGGAAAUUUGAGAGGAGCUGUCCUUAGUACGAGAGGACCGGGAUGGACGCACCGCUGGUGCACCAGUUGUUCCGCCAGGAGCAUAGCUGGGUAGCUACGUGCGGAUGGGAUAAGUGCUGAAAGCAUCUAAGCAUGAAGCCCACCUCAAGAUGAGAUUUCCCAUUCAUUUAAUGAAGUAAGAUCCCUUGUAGAUGACAAGGUUGAUAGGUCCGAGGUGGAAGCGUGGUGACACGUGUAGCUGACGGAUACUAAUCGAUCGAGGACUUAACUAA
rnacentral:ncRNA from 1 species